GGGACUUUUGGGAUAGCAUUGGAAAUAUAAAUGAGGAAAAUACCUAAUAAAAAUAUUUUAAAAAGAAGUAAUCAUCUAAAAUUGUAAUCUCAUGAUUAAAAUAUAUAACUUCAUAGCCUGAGUUGGGUGAAGUAGCUACCUGCUUUCUCUUAAGCUUCUUUCUUCCUUCCUUCCUUUCUUUCUUUCUUUCUUUCUUUCUUUCUUUCUUUCUUUCUUUCUUUCUUUCUUUCUUUCUUCUUCUUCUUCUUCUUCUUCUUCUUCUUCUUCUUCUUCUUCUUCUUCUUCUUCUUCUUCUUCUUCUUCUCCUCCUCCUCCUCCUCCUCCUCCUCCUCCUCCUUCCUCUUCCCUAUCCCCUCCCCUCCUCCUUCUCCUCUUUCUUCUUCACUUAGAUAUUGCCUCAAAUAACAUAAUUUGAUUUCUAAUUUUCACUGAAAACUUACAAGGAGCUAAGAGUUCUACAUCUUGUUCCAAAGGCUACCAGGAGAAGACUGGUUUUGAGGCAGCUAGGAGGAGGGUCUCAAAGCCCACCCCCACAGUGACACAUUUCUCUAACACAGCCAUAUCUGCUCCAACAAGGCCACGCCAUCUUGUAGAGCCAUUUCCUGGGCCAAGCAUAUCACACUGUGGGUUCCUCAUACUUCUUACAGACACCUUUUAUCUCCGGCUGUUUUAUGGUUUUAGGGGAUUUGAAAGUUGCAAGCUAUUUCCUGAAUUUUGAUUCAAUUCUGCUGUAGUUUUGAAAGAAGACAUAAGUAUAAAGUGCAAAACAUGAUAUUAAAAUGCUUUUCACUAUGUUUAACAUAUAUGGAAAUAUGGGUCUACUCCUAAGACAUUUGAGAAGUCAUAUAUUUAAAAAGACUAAAGUGCUACAAAUGUGGAACUGAAUGUAUCAAUAUAUAAAUGAUGUGGUGGCAUAUGGCUUGAAGUUAACGAAGCUUCCUUUCCUAGCUGCCUCCUUAUGGACUCUAUAUAAAAGGGGGUCAUAGGGAUACUUUGAGGCCAGUCAGAUGUUUUAUUCAGAGCACUGAGUUCCAAACUUGUAUGACAGAGGUUUCAUUCUUAUAAAACUAAACUAAACUAAACUAAACUAAACUAAACUAAACUAAACU
rnacentral:lncRNA from 1 species